CUUCUUACAGAUACUGAGGGAUGCUCAUUAACAUUUAAGUGAACUCACCUGCGAAGUGCAGAGGCGUGUACACGUCAACACGCUUCACGUGGAACGUCGUGCCGUCUCGUCUAUUGUCUGUUACGACAGGAUGUGCCGCCCAUUACCUUCCUCUCCGAAUGCCCGGCUGCACUUAACACAGCAGAAACACUCUGGGUGCCAAUUCUUAUCCAGAGCGGUGACCAUUUUCUAAACGACAAGCGGAAUGAGAAGUUAAAUGGCUUCAGUCUUUAUAGGCUUAUUACGAUAACUCACCUGUCCUACCACUGGCUUUUGACAAGCUGAACAGUUUCCCUUGGAGGAUGUCUGAACUCCUUGUCGGCUCAGGUCAGACUGAAGCAGCCCGAGCAUGCUGUCCAAUGAGCCCCCAGAUGAGGGCUGCGCUGGGGCGGCGGGCUGCUGUGGUGUUGGCACCACCGGACUGACAGGUGCAGCUGGCUUUGAGAAGAGAAAAAAAUAAAAAUAAAAAUGAUAUCUCAUCUGUUAUUGGUAUUUUAAUUCUCCAUGAGUUAAACUUCAGUCUGCAGUUAUUCUGAAAUUAAUUGCUAUAAAAAACAGUGACUGUAAGGCUUUUGACAAACAGAUAGGAGGAUGUGUGGACCAAGGGUGCAGGUUUGGUUGUUUGUAAUGCAACUGAAAUACAGGUUUCACUUCACUUCACUUCACUGUGAAGGAAAUGGCCCUGGUCAUACACACACCACAACAUUUGGAAACUAGUAGGCUGGGUCACUAUGUGGCCUUUCAUGCCUGUU